AUUGAACGCUGGCGGCAUGCCUUACACAUGCAAGUCGAACGGUAACAGGUCUUCGGAUGCUGACGAGUGGCGAACGGGUGAGUAAUGCAUCGGAACGUGCCCAGUAGUGGGGGAUAGCCCGGCGAAAGCCGGAUUAAUACCGCAUACGACCUGAGGGUGAAAGGGGGGGAUCGCAAGACCUCUCGCUAUUGGAGCGGCCGAUGUCAGAUUAGCUAGUUGGUGGGGUAAAGGCCUACCAAGGCAACGAUCUGUAGUUGGUCUGAGAGGACGACCAGCCACACUGGGACUGAGACACGGCCCAGACUCCUACGGGAGACAGCAGUGGGGAAUUUUGGACAAUGGGCGCAAGCCUGAUCCAGCAAUGCCGCGUGCAGGAAGAAGGCCUUCGGGUUGUAAACUGCUUUUGUCAGGGAAGAAAUCUUCUGGGUUAAUACCUCGGGAGGAUGACGGUACCUGAAGAAUAAGCACCGGCUAACUACGUGACAGCAGCCGCCGUAACAC
rnacentral:rRNA from 1 species